rnacentral:lncRNA from 1 species
GAUUAGAAUGAAAAUGAGAUGGUAAAUCAGUUUGCUUCAUGGGGAUUUAAACAGCAUUCUGAGGAAGGGAUAAGCCACAGGAUAAAAGGAACUACAGCUACCCCUCCACACUGCACUGUUUGCAGAUCUCUGGCCUGUUAUUAAAGAGAGACAACGAAACUUCUAUCCCAUUUAAGCCACUGCUUUUGGACUUCUAUAUCCAAGCAGCUUAGCUUGUAUCCUCAAUGAGCCACAGUCUCCAUUAUGAUGAUACACAGUGGUGUGGAUAGCCUCUCAGAUGGUCCCCAAUGAUCCUGCCUCGUGGUAUAUGUACCUUUGUAUAAUCCCAUUCUCUUGAAUGUGGGUUUGUCUGGUGACUCUCUUCUACCAACAGAUUGUGGCAAAGAUGGAUGAUGGGAUGUCACUUCACUGAUUAAGUGCCAAAAGGUUGCAAUCUCCUCUUGCUAACAGACUCUCUGCCUUGCUGGCUUUGAUGAUGCAAUUUGCCAUGUUGGAGCUGCCUAUGUGGCAUGAAACUGAAGCAGGCCUCCAGCCAACAGCCAGCAAGAAACUGAGACCCUCAGUCCAACAGUCCACAGGGAUCUCAAUCUUGCCAACCACCAUGUGAGCCUGGAAAUAGAUCCUUGCCCAGUUGAACCUUAAGAUCACUACAUCGCAGCUGACACCUUGACUGCAAGUCUGUAAGAGACCCUGAAGUGCAGGAACUUGCUAAGCCUGCCCAGACUCUUGACCCACGGAAACUGUGAGACAAUACAUGUGGGUUGUUUUAAGUUUGGGGGUGGAUAGGGGACCAGCCAGGUACACAGUGCAAGGAGAGCAACAGUAGA